rnacentral:rRNA from 1 species
UACAGAGACUGCAAGCGUUAUUCGGAUUCACUGGGCGUAAAGGGUGCGCAGGCGGCCAAGUGUGUGAGGCGUGAAAGCCCGGGGCUUAACCCCGGAAUUGCACCUCAAACUACAUGGCUAGAGCAUUGGAGAGGGUAGCGGAAUUCACGGUGUAGCAGUGAAAUGCGUAGAUAUCUGGAGGAACACCGGUGGCGAAGGCGGCAUCCUGGACCAACACUGACACUGAGGAGCGAAAGCCAGGGGAGCAAACGGG